UUGCAUCUGCGGUAUAACCUGCAAGCAUCCC
rnacentral:piRNA from 1 species